UCUGGCCGGCGGUGGCCGGCGGGUAACCGAGACCUGGAAAGCGAAACCACCGACUGGGAAGGGGGAACUACUGCCCUUGGGCCACCACGGCUUUCUGAGCGUAAUGGGCGUCCUCCAGGGCAGGAUUCCAAAUGCACCGUGGGUCCUGCUUGUUGGACUGGGGCACGUCCAGAACCAAGAGCGAGGGCUCCAAUUUGGAAUGGAGGAGCGCAUGGAAGGAAGGCUGCCCCGGCCAACUGGGGUGCCAGCAGGUCAGAGGGACUCUAGGCAGCUGGCUGACAUGUCCAGGAUACCAUGUUCCUGACACCUAAUGGUUUCUUCAUGUGAAGGGGGCCAUGGUCAGCAGCAGCUCUGAAGGCACACCCUGUUAACAAGAAUGGGAAGAGACCGUUUAUAUGUGCCAGGCACCAUCCUGGGCACUUCAAAGCCCGCAAGUCGAGAAGAAAGAGAAAAAAACAUUCUCCACUGCAAAUUUAGAGAAUCCACAGACAGAGUCUACAGUGGGCCGAUGUAAGUCAUGUCCCCACCACUAGAACAAUUGCUGGGUCAAGAACCAGUGGAGCAACCGCCAGACGUGGACAUCUGACUACACACUGG